AGUAGCGUGACGAGCACAAAGCGAAUUAUUCUUUCGCCUUUUACUAAAGAAUACUGUGUGCUCGUCAAUUUACGUUGCAUACCCUUAUUUUUUGAGGGGUUGUUUCAAUAUGAUUC
rnacentral:snRNA from 1 species